CAGAUGCUUCAGCUCAUCAUUUCUCAUUGGACACGAUGCCUUUGUCUCCAUCCACGGAGCGAAAGACGCGUAGGAGCAAGUGACGUGAUGGACGAGGACCAACGCCGACGGCAGGUCGCUUUUCACUGAAUAGAACCAACAAAAGAACUCUCGAGCCUCCGUUAAUUACGAAGCGUUCCGGUCGAUUACCUCAUGAAGCCGAAAGAAUGCGAAGCUGCAUCGAAGCAAAACAUCAAAGUGAUUCUGGUUUGUUUAACACACAGUCUCAUGUGCUUUGUAUUAAUCUACAAUGAAGGAACAAAUGGACCACCUCCCGCGCUACGACUCCCCC
ensembl:lncRNA